GUAUCCUCCUGGAACAUCUAUUAGGUAUGUGAACACUUAAGAGGUUCUUUGUUAAACCUCUUGAUGAUUCCUCCUUAAUGAAUUUAAGCACUUAGUAAUCAUUCAUAUCUGUAUGGUAUUUUGAAGAAUGCAUGUAUAUUAACAUUGGUUUCACUUGAGAGUCCUUUCAUUGUGGGGGGUGUUUGUCUUUUAUGUGAUGAGCUAGAGGGUUAGCAUUUGGUACUGAAU
rnacentral:misc_RNA from 1 species